GGCCGUGUGGCGAAAUGGCAUCGCGUCUGACUACGAUUCUAAAGAAAUUCGACAUCAGGAGAUUGCAGGUUCGACCCCUGUCUCGGUCA